CUUUUCAGAAAUAGGUUUCAACUAUUUCUGUUAAUUGCUACUUCAGCAAAAUAUUUCCUUUGGAAAUUGGAAGUGCUGGAUCAAUCAGAGGACACCAGAAGAUUUGUAUUUGUAACUAUAGAAGCACAGUUGUAUUCACGUGGAGUACUUGUGCACCACCAGAGGAUGACACAGGAUGGUCAGUCAUCAUUGUCCAUGAGUGUGUAUCAUGCAGUAAUGGUAAUACGUCCUUCCAGACCACAGAUGAGACUGGAC
rnacentral:lncRNA from 1 species